GCAGCGAGUAUUUGAGACGGUGAUUCUGACUACUGCUGCUGGACAGAGGCUAACGCCGGAUGCUAAUACAUGCUAAAUGCUAUCAGUCACACAGGAGGAGCGGAUGGGCCACGGCUCCAAUGUUUUGAGUUUGGACUGGAAUACCCACUUUAAAAUACUAGCUGUCACCAAUAGGCGGGGAUGUGCAUUUAGGCGGAAGUGGAGCAUCUGGGCACCAAAUCCAUUAAGAUGCAUCGAAGACAACUGAGUAGAAGCGCUGCUGGGUCUUUGUGGUAAUCACAUACAGGUGCUCUCUGGAUCCUUCAGCUGCCUGUAAGAUCUACUAUGAGACCGUCUGCAGAAACUCAGCCAUGUUCAGACCUGCACUCUAGUCUGCUGGAAACAAUUUCUUCACUUAAGGAAAGACUGGAAGCUAACCCGAAGCAGGCUACACGGCUACAAAUCAGACGUCUGCACAUUGGACCACAUUUGGACAGCAUGCAACCAAAUACACUUCACACAGUUGUGUUUGUUCAUUUGCUAUUUCUGCUGCUACUGCUUUUAAUCAACAUGUUCCUUAUGUUUUUUUUCCUUUCCCAAAUAAAUUAAUAUUCAUGUCACUGAUUAUAGUGUAGCACAUAUGAUAACAAUAACAUGAUACAACAUAUAUCACAUGAAUAUAUAGUCUUAUAGGCGUACUAAUUGUAUACAUAACUUAAAGUUAUUGUUAAGUUAUUAUUAGUAAGUGCUCGUCAAUUUAUGGCACAGGCGAACGCUGAGUUCACAGGCUGUAAACUGCCGGGAAUUAGUUUGCGGGCAUUCACAAGGUGGAAAAUCUGUUUUUUGAUGCAGUGGAAAAAGCAAUCCCUGCCUUAAAUGUGAGCCUUAAAAUCAACUCUGGAGCUUAAAGGCAACCACUACCAACAUGUCUGCAGUAUGACAGUGCUCCUACCUGGAAGUCAUCGAUGGAC